GUCCAACGUUAAUCGGGGCAGGGUAAGUCGACCCCUAAGGCGAGGCCGAAAGGCGUAGUCGAUGGGAAACGGGUUAAUAUUCCCGUACUUCUUACAAUUGCGAUGGGGGGACGGAGAAGGCUAGGUGGGCCUGGCGACGGUUGUCCAGGUUCAAGUGCGUAGGCUGAGAAAUUAGGUAAAUCCGGUUUCUCUUAAGGCUGAGACACGACGUCGAGCAUCUACGGAUGUGAAGUCAUUGAUGCCAUGCUUCCAGGAAAAGCCUCUAAGCUUCAGAUUGUAAGGAAUCGUACCCCAAACCGACACAGGUGGUCGGGUAGAGAAUACCAAGGCGCUUGAGAGAACUCGGGUGAAGGAACUAGGCAAAAUGGUACCGUAACUUCGGGAGAAGGUACGCUCUCGACGGUGAAGUCCCUCGCGGAUGGAGCUAUUGAGAGUCGCAGAUACCAGGUGGCUGCAACUGUUUAUUAAAAACACAGCACUGUGCAAAAUCGCAAGAUGACGUAUACGGUGUGACGCCUGCCCGGUGCCGGAAGGUUAAUUG
rnacentral:rRNA from 1 species